rnacentral:tRNA from 1 species
AUUUAAGUAGUUUAAGGAAAAUAUUGGCCUGUGGAGCCUAAGUUGUAAGUAUAAUUACCUUAAAUC